AGGGGGGUCGCCCGAGCGGCCGAAGGGAACGGUCUUGAAAACCGUCGUGGCAGCGAUGUCACCGUGGGUUCAAAUCCCACCGCCUCCGC
rnacentral:tRNA from 1 species